AGAUAUUAAAUGAACGAGGAAACAGCCCAAUAAGCGAGGGAAAGGUCAAAGGGCAACUCGCGCUCUGGUUCGCGCGAUCGGUCUUGCGGCGCGGAAAGUGUGUCAAGUUUGCCGAUAAGAUAAUCCGCGUCUUCGGCGUAUCGGUGUCCUUGGCACGAUAUUCGGAUGUGGAGCAGCUGCCAAUAAAGUUGGGCGCCAGCGCGGAAGAGCCGGACGCGAGGAUAUGGAGUGUAUCUCGCGCGCGGAUCGCCGCUAUAAUGUGGGUCGCGCGAUUCUUUUCGCAAUCCCGGCGGAAAGACGCACGCCACGAAAUCCAGCCGAAAUGUCCGGUGCACUUGACGUAUGAGUGCACGCAACGACAUGCAAGCACGUGCCGGCGCGUUGCGUAUGCAAAAUUAUUGUUUUAUGCCGAGCGCCGGAUUUCGCGGACAGGUCUACGCCGAAAGCGCGGUCCAUGAAUUAAACAUCGAAUGCUAAUCCAGAGGAACCGUAAACCGAUCUUGAUCGUAAUCGCGACGCGGUCGGCCGUUUCUGUGUCUUCCGAGCGUUACUUGGCGCACGGGGAGCUCCUUCCUUUUUCUUCCUGUACCUCGAGGAGUCACGUGAAAAUAUCAUUAGCAUAGGACGUAGCGGCAUACCGGGCAAAUGAGUAAUUACGAUGGUAUCGGUAUCUCAUACAUCUCCCUCGUAUUCCCCGCAAACGAUAUUGCGUGCGCGGAAUACGCGAGCGGGGGAGCGAACGAAGAGAACUACGAAUGUUGCAUAUAAAUCGCUAUAAACAACGGCCAGGACGGUGAGAAAGGGCCUUCCCCAAGUUCAGAAGCGCGCAGAGCCGGUGCGUCACUUUGUCAGCACGUGCACGAAUCCCAAAUCGAGGAGAUGAUCGUCAAGAGACGGCACUCGCUGAUGGAAUAUGAAAUCUCGAUCGCAGUCUCCUUACAGGAAAAACAUGAAGGAUCUGGGAAUCGUCUAUCGAUGUGAUUCAAUGCCUCGAUCAUGAAUGUAAGUAAAAAAACUCGGGGAUCUGUAAUGCAAAAUGUCAUAAAACAGAUUGUGUGUUUGGAUAUUUAAAUUUAAAAUGCUUAAUAUUCUUCAGAACAGGUGAUACUAAGAGAACGAAAAAAGAAAUUUCGGAGCAUAAAAAUCUACGAUUGAAGAAACUUGCGAAACGACAUAAAAAUCUACGAUUGAAGAUUAAGCGACUGAAGAAACUGAAGAUUAAAUAUCUUGUGGUUCAAUACAAUUGAUUUUGUAGAUCUGUUUAAUUAGUAAUUCAAUUGUGAUUCCAAAUUACAUACCGCUUAUGUAAAUUGUGAAUCUAGAUUCUUUUCGCGUUGUUUUUAUGGCUCCUCUCUUUGAUUUAUACAUAAUAUAAUCAUGAAAUCACCGCUGCAGGCUCUUACUAAAGUCGAUCGAAUACGUACGCGCUCGGUGUCCCGAGAUCCUUCAUCAAAAGGCAGCGCAGAUUCACCAUUUAACCGCGCAUUUUUCCGAGCGGUAGGGCGGUAAGCCAGUGGUAUAUAAAACAGCGGGGUGAUAGCGAUUAUUCUUCCGUUGGAGAACGAUUGGAGAACAAAGAUGACAACGCGAUUAGCGUGGACGAGUGUUUCCAGGAAGGAUGUCGCAUAGCUGUUAAUCCCAACGGCUCAGGAAGCGUGAAAGCCACGAUAAGAAAACAUUGAGCCCGUGACGCAAUGAUGUUUUCAUUAUACGGUUUUUUGGACAUUCACUUGGUGCCGCUAUAGAUUCUGUGUUAUCACGGAUGCCAGGGAGAUCGAAGGAAACUGAGUGAUUCACAAGAAAUAUCAUUACGAGAUUAUGACCGGAGUGUCCAAAAGAAACAACUAAAAUGAAGUUAAUCAUCCUGCUGUUACUGCUGGUCAGUUCUGUUCUCUGUAUACCUUGGCUCGAUUUGUGGUUCCCUCAGCAGCCCUCGUACAAUCGAAAUACCGGAUACUAUGCAAACGGCUAUCGUCAAGGUAGAGGUGGUAAGGAGCGCUGGAGACAGAUCUGCAGGACUAUAAAUCCAGAUGCGUACGCGUUUCCGGGACGUGUGCCUUAUCCCGCCGCGCCUGUUUGUCCGUGGUGAGGGAAAUUCUCGAUCGAGCUCUCAAUCUGUCGUGCCAAACGAGAACGUGUCGUGCGUUCAAAAUAUGAAUUUAUUGUAACAACGUAGCUUUUUAGACAAUAUACGUCCACCGGUUAUGA